GAUGAAGAACGCAGCGAAAUGUGAUAAGUAAUGUGAAUUGCAGAAUUCAGUGAAUCAUCGAAUCUUUGAACGCACAUUGCGCCCCUUGGUAUUCCGAGGGGCAUGCCUGUUCGAGCGUCAUUAUAACCCCUCAAGCUCAGCUUGGUGUUGGGGCCUGCUGCACUGGCAGCCCUUAAAAUCAGUGGCGGCGCCAUCUGGCUCUAAGCGUAGUAAUUCUUCUCGCUAUGGAGUCCUGGUGGAUGCUUGCCAUCAACCCCCAAUUUUUCUAUGGUUGACCUCGGAUCAGGUAGGGAUACCCGCUGAACUUAAGCAUAUCAAUAAGCGAGGA
rnacentral:misc_RNA from 1 species